rnacentral:rRNA from 1 species
CGCUCUUUGGGGUUAAUAAAGAGUAAAGUCUGCCCACUGAAUAUUUAAAUGGCCGCAGUAUUUUGACUGUGCGAAGGUAGCAUAAUCAUUAGCUUAUUAAUUGUAAGCUGGUAUGAAAGGCCACAUGGGGAGAAACUGUCUCUUUUAAUUUAAUGAAAUUAAGUAUUCUGUGAAGACGCAGAAAUAUCUUUAGGGGACGAGAAGACCCUGUCAAGCUUUAUAAGUGCUCCCUAUAAAGGGCGGUUAGGGGUAAUUAUUAUGUUGGGGCGACAGUAGAAUUUAACAUCUAUUAUUUGUUUAUGAUUUGAUUAUAAUUAUGAUGACCCAAAAUUUUUGUUUAUAAGAACAAGCUACUGCAGGGAUAACAGCGUAAUUUUGUCAGAGAGUUCAUAUUGAUGAUGAAGAUUGCGACCUCGAUGUUGAAUUAGGAUACCCUUGGGGUGCAGCAGCUCUAGGAGGGUGGUCUGUUCGACCAUUAAAUUCCUACA